rnacentral:rRNA from 1 species
GACGAACGCUGGCGGCGUGCUUAACACAUGCAAGUCGAGCGGUAAGGCCUCUUCGUGGGUCCACGAGCGUCGAACGGGUGAGUAACACGUGGGUGACCUUCCCUCAGCUCUGGGAUAAGCCUGGGAAACUGGGUCUAAUACCGGAUAUGACCACAUGUUGCAUGGUGUGUGGUGGAAAGUUUUUUCGGCUGGUGAUGGGCCCGCUGCCUAUCAGCUUGUUGGUUGGGUGAUGUCCUACCAAGGCGACGACGGGUAGCCGGCCUGAGAGGGCGACCGGCCACACUGGGACUGAGACACGGACCAGACUCCUACGGGAGGCAGCAGUGGGGAAUAUUGCGCAAUGGGCGGAAGCCUGACGCAGCGACGCCGCGUGGGGGAUGACGGCCUUCGGGUUGUAAACCUCUUUCGACCGGGCCGAAGCGUAAGUGACGGUACCGGUAGAAGAAGCACCGGCCAACUACGUG